rnacentral:lncRNA from 1 species
AUUCUGUAGUUUUCUUCCACUUCCAAAACAAUCUAGUCUGUUAUUUGGAUAACAUUAGUCCCAUAAAUAAGUUGGGAAGUUUUCUUUCCCUUUAUAGUUUCUGGAAGGGAUUGUGUUGAAUUAAUAUGACUUCUUCCUCCAGAUUUUGCUAUAAUUUGCUCUCGAAACCAUCUGAGCUUGGAGUUUUGAUUCUUGGAAGACUUUGAACUGCAAAUUCCAUUUCCUUAAUAUAUAUAGGACCAUGCAGGUUCUUUCUUUGUUUCUUUUUUAAAAAAGUGGAGAGGAGGCCUCCCUGUGUGCUUUCCUUGUAAUAAACAGCUGUAAACAUUUUCAGUUAGCUUUCAGACAUUUUCUACUUAAAAUAUUCAGAUGGAAUUAUUUCCUUUCAUUUUCAUCCUUCUCUACAUUUACCCUGCUUUUCCUCUUACUGGAUUCCUAAGUUAUUUAUUUUCAAUCCUUCUAAGGAACACAUUCAAGGGCCAGGCAUAGUGGCACAUGCCUGUAAACCCAGUGGUUCAGAAGGCUGAGACAGGAGGAUCACAAGUUUGAGGCCAGCCUCAGCAAUUUAGCAAGACUCUAUCUGAAAAUUAAAAAAAAA